rnacentral:pre_miRNA from 1 species
CGGGCGCCAUCUUAAAAUGCCAGUAGCCCAAAUUAACUCGCCGCGUAUAGACGCGGUAGUCCGAUCCAAAACCCUUCCCUCAAAUUAACUUGUGAGUAACAGUUAAUUUGAGAGAAGGGUUUUGGAUCGGCCUACCGCGUCUAUACGUGGCGAGUUAAUUCGGGCUACCAGCAUUUUAAGAUGGCGCCCA